CCUACGGGCGGCAGCAGUGAGGAAUAUUGGUCAAUGGGCGCGAGCCUGAACCAGCCAAGUCGCGUGAAGGAUGACGGCCCUACGGGUCGUAAACUUCUUUUAUAAGGGAAUAAAGUGAGGCACGUGUCCCUUUUUGUAUGUACUUUAUGAAUAAGGAUCGGCUAACUCCGUGCCAGCAGCCGCGGUAAUACGGAGGAUCCGAGCGUUAUCCGGAUUUAUUGGGUUUAAAGGGUGCGUAGAUGGGUUGUUAAGUCAGUGGUGAAAGUCUGUGGCUCAACCGUAAAAUUGCCAUUGAUACUGGCAGUCUUGAGUAUAUUUGAGGCAGGCGGAAUGCGUGGUGUAGCGGUGAAAUGCUUAGAUAUCACGCAGAACCCCGAUUGCGAAGGCAGCCUACCAAGC
rnacentral:rRNA from 1 species